rnacentral:rRNA from 1 species
GAGUGGCGGACGGGUGAGUAUCGCGUAGGGAUCUAUCCAUGGGUGGGGGAUAACAUCGGGAAACUGGUGCUAAUACCGCAUGAUACCUGAGGGUCAAAGGCGCAAGUCGCCUGUGGAGGAGCCUGCGUUCGAUUAGCUUGUUGGUGGGGUAAAGGCCUACCAAGGCGAUGAUCGAUAGCUGGUCUGAGAGGAUGAUCAGCCACACUGGGACUGAGACACGGCCCAGACUCCUACGGGAGGCAGCAGUGGGGAAUAUUGGACAAUGGGCGAAAGCCUGAUCCAGCAAUGCCGCGUGUGUGAAGAAGGUCUUCGGAUUGUAAAGCACUCUCGACGGGGACGAUGAUGACGGUACCCGUAGAAGAAGCCCCGGCUAACUUCGUGCCAGCAGCCGCGGUAAUACGAAGGGGGCUAGCGUUGCUCGGAAUGACUGGGCGUAAAGGGCGCGUAGGCGGUUUACACAGUCAGAUGUGAAAUUCCAGGGCUUAACCUUGGGGCUGCAUUUGAUACGUGUAGGCUAGAGUGUGAGAGAGGGUUGUGGAAUUCCCAGUGUAGAGGUGAAAUUCGUAGAUAUUGGGAAGAACACCGGUGGCGAAGGCGGCAACCUGGCUCAUUACUGACGCUGAGGCGCGAAAGCGUGGGGA